AGACAGCAGUAGCCACGGUAAUACGAAGGGGGCUAGCGUUGCUCGGAAUUACUGGGCGUAAAGGGCGCGUAGGCGGAUGUUUAAGUCAGAGGUGAAAGCCCAGGGCUCAACCUUGGAACUGCCUUUGAUACUGGACAUCUUGAGUGUGGGAGAGGUGAGUGGAACUCCGAGUGUAGAGGUGAAAUUCGUAGAUAUUCGGAAGAACACCAGUGGCGAAGGCGACUCACUGGCCCAUUACUGACGCUGAGGCGCGAAAGCGUGGGGAGCAAACAGGAUUAGAUACCCCUGUAGUCCCUGUCUCUUAUAC
rnacentral:rRNA from 1 species